CCUGCCAUAGGACAGGCUGAGGCUGAGUCUCAGUGUUGCCCUGUUCAGUCUGAGGCAAGUGGGAUUUAUUUUAUUCCUUAUAGGGGCUUUCACAGCUUUAUGGCUGUUGGAUAUUUAUGUCCCCAAACUUGCAGCAAGUUUGGUGAAGGCCCCUAAAUUUAAUUAAACUUAGGAUUUUUAUACUCUUUUGGCAGAGAAGGCUCUAUAUUAAUAUUCACGUUUGACUGUGGUGUUAAUAAAAAGUAUUUGAUAUAUGUAAUCUUACGUAAUUUAUUUUGUGUUAACAGCCUCAGUAUAGCUGGUACUGCUAUAUCAAUCUUUAGUAAUUUGACAAAAUUUGACAUUCUUGAUUUGGAGGCAUGAAAUGUUUUGUUCAAAUUUUCCACUUUCACUUUUAGGAAAAAGUUACUAGACGUUUUCUUCUCAAACUAUUAAAUUUAACUUCAUGGAUAAGUUUGAUCAUUGGAAAUACCACAGGAUACUGAAAUCUGCAUUUUUAAUCCCAAAGUUAUGCAUUGAACAUUAAGGUUGAAGGGUCAUGUGGAAAUGCUUGUGAUUUUUAAUAUUUUCAAACUUCACCACAUUAGAGCAAAUGUUAAUGUAGAGCCCUUGUGAAGAGUGGGAAGGUGGUGUGUGGUAUGUAUGCAUAUACACUACACAUUUGAUAAGAUAAAAGGAUAAUUAAAGGGUUUGGGAAUUGCAGACCUGUCAGUAUGGCUAGAUUACUAAUUUUCAGGUAAUCAAACAAAUAGAAUCAUAAAUGUAAAGCUAGUACAUUGAACUGUGGUUUUGGAAUAAUCGUUUUGAGGUUCAUUUUCAGCCUUGCUGAACGAUGUUUUAGGCAAUAUGCACACAUGAAAAGUAUCCACAUAUGAUUCCAACUAAAAUUUGCUUUUAUCUGGUGAGAAACGUGUUUAUGUGUGUGUGUUGUGGGAGGUAAAGAAGGAAAUGGAAGAUAGCCCAAAACAUAAACCUGGUUUACUUUUGUUCCUUCCUGUGUUUAAGCGACACAUCUGUUCUAUCCAGAUUGCAUUUGCUUUUGAACAGUAACAGUGUGUAGGUACAGUGUUUAGCUAACCCAGGAUUGUUUUCUAUGUGGUUUUAAUUCUUGAAUGCAUAAUGAAGAGAAGUGUACAUUAAAUGAAUUCCAAAUUUUCACCUGUACAAUUAGAACAUAGGAUUUUCUCUGUAACUGAAUCAUGGAAAAAAGAUCUUAGUAUUUGAAAAAAAAAAUUUGUUACAGCAAAAGAAUAUAUUUAUAACCUGUUUGGCAAUUACAGCUUGAGUCUCCUUAAUUGGAGAUGUUUUCUAUUGAAUCUACCAUCACCCAAUAUGGUGAAAUAUUCAAGAGUGAGGCUGCUUGUCUUGAUUCUAAUAAUUAGAAUUGAAAAUAUUGAAAUAGGGUGAAAUAAUUGAAAUAGUUUGAAAUAAUUAAAAUAGGCUUACAUGCACACUUGAGUACUGGGAGUUGGAGGGAUUUUCUAAGAGUGGCAUAAUUUGUUAAUUUUCUUGAUACCUCUGAAGUAGUAUGAUUUUGAGAAUUACAAAACUUUCAGGUGUCUGUCCACUUCCACUGGUAAACUUCGUAAAUGAAAGGAAAUGUUGAACUAGCUAUCUUACAGAGAUAACAUUUUGUUUUGAGUAAAUGGAUACUUGUAUUGGUUAGGAGAUAAAAAGCAUUUAAAAUAUAAAAAUUUUGUAUAAAUCAGGUAUGUCUUUUAAAGAGGCAAUAUUUCAUUAAGUAAUCAUUGUAUGUUAUUCUAAAACAAAGUCGGCUUUCUCUUACUGUAACUUUUAUGGAAAACUCUUGUAGAAGGAGGGAUUCAGUUAUAAGACUAUUCACUCUAAGGCAGGUUUGUAAGUAAACGCUUCCCCUAGUUACACUUCUGCUUUGCUGUCUCAUGACUUGAAUAUUAGUAAAGGUUACUCCCCCCUCCCUUUUUUUUUCUUUUUUUUUACCCUUUCUCAGUAUUUUGUUUUCUGUCAUCUGAAUCAUUUUAAUAAAUGACUUUUUGUUUUUCUAGCAUAGAAAUCCUUUAACUUCUGUGUGAUAUUUCUUGGCAAAAUUGAGAAGCAGUUACUUUAAUGAUGUACAUAGUGGUUAUUCGUAAUUUUGUGAUUAAUGUUGAAUUUUCCGAACAAUACUUUUAAUAAAAUAUCUUGCUGUUAGGCAUACCCUAUCAUGGGAUGUAAAUCAAACAAAUGCUUAGGAAAUGGGAUACAGGACUUCAGUUUGAGCUCCCAAAUACUUGAAAUAUCUCCCAACUUUUCCCCAGUGUCUUCAUGUUAAUACUUGGCAUUUUUGUUGAGAUAUAGUAAGUUUGAAAGUAGCAUUUAAAAAAAGAUUUCUUUAAUAAAGGUCAGAAGAGAAUUGCUUUUUAUAAGCAUUGUUUAUUCUGCUCUGAGCUGUAUACAUUCUUGUAUAAUAAUUUGGCCGUAAAGGGAAGAGCCUUUCAUUUUCCUAAUUCUGGAAAAAUAAUAGCUUGAAACUAUAUGAAUUUGAAUAUUUUGAAGCAUGUCUUUAAAUCUGUUCAAUUAAGCUCAUGUAUCCUCAGGGAAAUAUCUUUAUUUUACUAAUAAGCAGGAUGUAGAAGUCAUAUUAAGGCAGAAACUGAAGACCUAAAGGAACUCUUCACUGAAGCUAAUUUGAACUAUUACUAUUUGAAGCAAAUUGAAUGCUGUAUUAUAAAUCAAGACUGUUCAUGAUUAGGUUCAUUAGGAGGCAUAUAAUCAGCUAUAAUAGAAUAUGUGUAUAUGUUUAAUCUUGAUCAAAUUAACUACAGAGAAGAUACAUGUGAGUAAACUACUUUAAUGAUUGAUAACUUGGACCCCAUUUAUUAAUUCUAAAUGCUGUAAUGUUGUGUAAGGUCGUCUUACGGCACAGCUUCAGUAAUGUGCUUGUGUUUGGCCAGGGGUUUGUGUAAUGUUGUAUAAAGAGGGGAAGGCCUUUUCUGGAAUUCUCUUGACCCCUUUGGCAUUCUUACGGCGUCUGGGUUUUUGUGGGGAUUUUUUUUUUAUUUUUUUAUAAACCAUUAAUAAUAUUAAAGAGUCUGUAUGCCUUCAUCUUUGGUUAAAUUUGAGAGGAGCUGGCAGUGAAAUUUUUGAUGCCCAACUUGGAUAAAAAUGAAUGUUUCUUCAGUUUACUAUACACCAAUAUUAUUUGAGGGGAGAGGUCAUUAGGUAAUGUUGUUAGGCCUAAGAACCUUAAAUGUAGCGAAAGGUAACAGCAUUCUUGCUCCUGGUUUGCAUUUGUGAUUAAGGUUUCACUAAAUCAUUUAUUAUAACUAACGUUACUUUUAACAUUUUGUUCAUAAAUAUUUGAGCAAUCAGAUGAAAAUAAAAUUUGCAGCAUCAUUUCCUUUCUCUACUAAUAAAACAAGGCUGCUUAACCACCCAAGUGAGCCAAGGGAAGAGUUAAUGAGGUUUCUAUAGCUUUGAGUUCUAAUAGUAGGGGGCAUAUAUUUAUUAAGCAAAGCCUCCCUUUUAGUUACUAGUUUAUUAAUAUACGUCAGGAGAAGCAGAUUUACUUUUCAGCCCAUGUUUUAAAUCUCAUAAAAGAAAAUGAAAUCGAGUGUUUUGAAAAUUUAAUUUUAAACAAUUAAAAAUUGGUUUCCUCUAUAGAGUAAGUCUGCACACACUUAAAUUUAGAAAUUACCAUGUUGAAAUUUUUUUCCCCAGAUACAUGCCCCUCUUUUUUUUUAGAGGAACCAAAAUUUCCAUAUAAUAUACAUACAGGAAUUACAUAGUUUAUUAAAAGUGAGGUGUGUCCAAGAGAUAUACAGCGUUCUUAAGUCAUUCUCAAAAAGGUCACUUUAAGAGCCAAUGUAAGGUAACUUUUGUAAAACUUAGGGAAAAAGUUUAAAAUGUAUUAAUAUCAGGUUCUGAGGAAAUUUAAUGCACAUUGACUUUUUAAAACUAUGGAUUGAACUCCUCAGUUUAAUACAAUUUGUGUUUUUGUUAACUAGCAGCAGAAUUUCAGCAUUUGCUACUUACUGGUAGAGAAGAAAAAUCCCACAGCCCUGCCAGUACAGUUUAAUCUGUAUAAGAAAUGGCGUAUAUACAGUGGAAAUGGUUUUCCUUAAAACCAUCUCUAUAAAGCUGCCUUUCUGGUAAGUAUUAUUUUAUCCUUAUAUGUCACAAUUUUUCCUUUUAAGUUUUAACUGAAAUGGGCUACUGAUCAAAGAAGUGGGCAAUCUGAGUUUUUACACUCUAAAUAAUAUCCGAAUUGGCAUUUAUUUUAGAAGUUGAUUAUUUCGCCUCCUGACGUUUUCCUAAUAAUCCACGAUCACUUUUCUGACUUCCACUUAGUCUGUAACUGCAAAACCUUUUAACAUACUUUUUUUUUCUUUCGGUGGGAUGGAAAAAAUGUUUUCACUCAAAACCAGUGGUUUUUAAAAAUGUUUUUAAGCUUGAUUUUCUUUUUAGCUGACAACCGAAAGUUUGGUCUCAAUGCUUUUGGUUCUCAAAAGAUGUACAGGUGUAAAAUUUAAAUAUCAGAAUUUGUCUCUUUGUGAAGCUGUUGUUGCAGUGAUUCAUGAGCGAUUAAAGCUGAGGGUAGGCUUGAAGGAGGACUUGCCUGAAAUGCUCCUGCAGACUAAUGCCUACAGAAUUAUCUCUGAAUGAGGCUUGAAAAUUUCAAGUGAAUCUUUAAAUCUUUCUAACCUUGCAUGAAAAACAUGGGUUAGAAAUACUGGUUUCUGGGACCGUGUAUACCAGUGGGAAUUAGCCUCUGUGUAUAUUUUAAAUUUACGCCCUGUUUAGUACUUUCCUUCAGAGUGAUACAUGGAUUUUAUUUAUUUUAUUUUAUUUUAUUAUUAUUAUUAUUAUUAUUAUUAUUUUUUGUCUCCAGUCUUUAGCCAUAUUCUAGCUGGUGUCAAUAUAAGCUAAGGAUGUUUUCAACCACUGAGCCACCCAGGCAUCCUCUAAGGUUUUCAAAUUGUAUUUCUUGCUGUGAUGUUCAUAAACCAACAAUGAAUAGUAAACUCUUAAUGCUUUUUAGUAUGGAAAAUGAUAGUCUUCUGAAAAUUGAUAUUUUGAGUAUGUGAUAAUGGUGAUGUAUUCUUUUAGAUAAACACUAAACAAAGUGUGGACCCUCAAUUUAUGUCUUUAAGAUUUAAAGUGAAGUAAAUUUCUAAGGAAGUCUGUCCUUUCCUAGCAAGGAUAAGCAGACAUUGAAAAUGUGGUAAGUAUGUAACUCUAAAUGCAUGUAAUAGUGGUGAGAGUAUGUAGCCAAAUUUCCAUAGUUUAAAAUAAUGCUUAGACAUGAACAAGAAUUCUCAAAUUUCCUUUGCGACUUAAUGUAUGUGUGUCUAGCAUUUUUACAAAUUUGUGUGCACAAUGAUUAAAUUGAAAUGUACCUUA